UGGGGAAUCUUGCGCAAUGGGCGAAAGCCUGACGCAGCAACGCCGCGUGAGGGAAGAAGGCUUUCGGGUUGUAAACCUCUUUCAGGAGGGACGAAGCUUCCGGGGUUAAUAGCCUACGGGGUGACGGUACCUCCAGAAGAAGCCCCGGCUAACUACGUGCCAGCAGCCGCGGUAAUACGUAGGGGGCAAGCGUUGUCCGGAAUCAUUGGGCGUAAAGCGCGUGUAGGUGGCUUGGUAAGUCCGGUGUGAAACCUUGGGGCUCAACCCCAAGCCUGCAUCGGAUACUGCCUCGCUCGAGUUCGGGAGGGGAGAGCGGAAUUCCUAGUGUAGCGGUGAAAUGCGCAGAUAUUAGGAAGAACACCGGUGGCGAAGGCGGCUCUCUGGAACGAUACUGACACUGAGACGCGAAAGCGUGGGUAGCGAACAGGAUUAGAUACCCCCGUAGUCCCUGAGCGGGCUGGCAAGGCGCAU
rnacentral:rRNA from 1 species